AGUUUGAUCCUGGCUCAGGAUGAACGCUGGCGGCGUGCUUAACACAUGCAAGUCGAACGGGGAUGCCAUUUUCGAGGUGAUUAGUUUACUAAGAGCCAAGAUGUUGGCAUCUUAGUGGCGGACGGGUGAGUAACGCGUGGGUAACCUGCCUUAUACAGGGGGAUAACACUUAGAAAUAGGUGCUAAUACCGCAUAAGCGCACGGGGCUGCAUGGCCCAGUGUGAAAAACUCCGGUGGUAUAAGAUGGACCCGCGUCUGAUUAGCUUGUUGGCGGGGUAACGGCCCACCAAGGCGACGAUCAGUAGCCGGCCUGAGAGGGUGGACGGCCACAUUGGGACUGAGACACGGCCCAAACUCCUACGGGAGGCAGCAGUGGGGAAUAUUGGACAAUGGGGGGAACCCUGAUCCAGCGACGCCGCGUGAGUGAAGAAGUAUUUCGGUAUGUAAAGCUCUAUCAGCAGGGAAGAAAGAAAUGACGGUACCUGACUAAGAAGCCCCGGCUAACUACGUGCCAGCAGCCGCGGUAAUACGUAGGGGGCAAGCGUUAUCCGGAUUUACUGGGUGUAAAGGGAGCGUAGACGGUUACGCAAGUCUGGAGUGAAAGGCGGGGGCCCAACCCCCGGACUGCUUUGGAAACUGUAUAACUGGAGUGCAGGAGAGGUAAGUGGAAUUCCUAGUGUAGCG
rnacentral:rRNA from 1 species